rnacentral:rRNA from 1 species
AUUGAACGCUGGCGGCAGGCCUAACACAUGCAAGUCGAACGAGUGGCGGACGGGUGAGUAAUGUCUGGGAAACUGCCUGAUGGAUGGGGAUAACUACUGGAAACGGUAGCUAAUACCGCAUACCAUCGGAUGUGCCCAGAUGGGAUUAGCUUGUUGGUGGGGUAACGGCUCACCAAGGCGACGAUCCCUAGCUGGUCUGAGAGGAUGACCAGACACACGGGAAAGGAGACACGGUCCAGACUCCUACGUGAGGAAGCAGUGGGGAAUAUUGCACAAGGGGCGCAAGCCUGAUGCAGCCAUGCGGCGGGUAUGAAGAAGGCCUUCGGGUUGUAAAGUACUUUCAGCGGGGAGGCGUUACCCGCAGAAGAAGCACCGGCUAACUCCGUGCCAGCAGCCGCGGUAAUAC